rnacentral:misc_RNA from 1 species
UCUCUGUAGGUGAACCUGCGGAAGGAUCAUUACCGUACACAAUGUGAGGGGCCUACGAGGGCUGUUGCUCUAUCAACAGUUGUCCACGCCGGAGUGUUCCCCCUUGCAUCAUAAUCCACCUCACCCUUUGCGCACCACCGCGCGGGCAUCCUUCGGGCCCUUCUCGUAGCGGGGCUCGCGCUUUCACACAAACCCCCCUUUUAAAAGUGUAGAAUGAUCACAUUUAUGCAAUUAUUACAACUUUCAACAACGGAUCUCUUGGCUCUCGCAUCCAUGCAC